AUCCAACUGAUGAGUCCUAAAUAAGAUGAAAUGCGCAUCCUGUAU
rnacentral:hammerhead_ribozyme from 1 species